rnacentral:lncRNA from 1 species
UCUCUUUUUGUUUUAUACUUGUAUGAAUGACAAACAUUAGGCUGACUGCCUCGUGACAAUGACCAAUUAACAAUUGUGAAUCGGUUUCCUUAAGCGAACACAAGUCAGCACUUAAGUGGGUUGGGAGUGACCCCUUACCUCUUAGGAAAAUGCGAGGAAACGUUUGUUCAUCAGCUAAUAAGUGACGAUAGAAUCACUCAAAUGAACAUUUUGAAGAACUGAGGAAACCUUUCCUUGGCUGACCCGGUUUGGAACUGAAAAUUCGUUACUGAAGAUAAGUUGCACCCCUUAAAAACGAUGAUUCCAUCAUUUAAUAAUCUUUACAACCAACGUCGGAUCAGUACAACUGAUUUAGUUAUGACGACCUAGGAUCAAAUUGGAACAUUCUUGUUACUGGUAAUAUUUUCUCAAGUGCUCUAUGUUCCACUUGUGAGGUAACACCCUUCCAGACAUAUCUUCGACCUCGAAAGUACCAGGUCGGGAUUCUCCCCGAAUGCGGUACGGGCCUUCCCAGUUUGGGCUAAAGACUCCUGACCCGGAUGGUUUCGAAGAUUGGAACACCCUUUUGAGAACAAGGUCGCCCAAGCGGAGAGUUCUGUUUCUAACCUUGGAGUUGUAAAAGCGGGUCAUCUUACGAUGGUAUUUCGCUAAGGUUAUCUGGGAAGCGUCUCUCCUCUCCUCAAGGAGGUGUAGUUCGCUUAUGCGCGCCUCAUCGUUGCUGAUCUCAUUGAAAUGUAUCCGUCGAUGUGAUGGGACACCGACCUCGACCGGACUCAUCGCUUCAGCUCCGUAGGUCAUUGAAAAUGGGGUCUCACCCGUUGCGGUUCGGCAAGUCGUUCUGAUGGCCCAGAGGACGUGGGGGAGUUCGUCAACCCAUGCGCCUUUUGAGGCAUCCAGUUUCCUUUUCAGGGUGUGCUUGAUAGUCUUGUUCACUGCUUCGACCUGUCCAUUUGCCUGAGGGUGAUGCGGAGUUGAGAAGUCUUUCUUUAUGCCUAGUUCGUCGCAUAACUCUCGCAUCUUCCUGUUGUCGAACUGCCGCCCAUUAUCAGAGACAAUGGAGUGAGGGAUGCCGAACCUGCAUACGACGUUUUUCCAAACGAACUUCGUAGUGUUGGCUUCGGUGAUUCGGGCAAGGGGUUCUGCCUCGACCCACUUAGUGAAGUAGUCGAUGGCGACAAUGGCAAAAGUUGCGCUUCCUCUACCCUUUGGUAGCGGACCAAUGAAGUCGAUGCCCCACUUGGCGAACGGCCAAGGGCUGGUCACUAUGGAGAGGCUCUGCGCCGGCGAUCUUUGUACGUUCGAGAAGCGCUGGCAUUUGUCACAUUUCUGGACAAAUUGACGUGCGUCCCUUUUCAGGGUUGGCCAGAAGUAGCCCUGACGGAGGACCUUGUGUGCCAGAGCCGUCCCUCCG